CAAAUUGCACACUCUGUCCUGUUGAGUGGCUACAACAUUUGAAUAAGUGUUAUUACAUUUCUAAGGAAAAUGCAACUUGGCUUAACAGCACAAAAUUCUGCAAGUCAUUUCUGGCUCACCUUGUUAAAAUUGAGGACGACGAUGAACUGGAGUUUCUCAGAAACAAAAUGGUAGUUGCAGAAUACACUUACUGGAUUGGAUUGUGGCAACAAUAUACUUAUGACGUUUGGAGAUGGUUUGAUGGCACACCACUGGAUACUCAGAAGUAAGAAUUU